UUGUGUUCCAAAAACUUGAAUGGAUUAUUCACUAAGAAACUGCCCAAAUGUGCCUUACAUUACAUAACAAUAUGAAUCAACAUUCACCUUUAAUCUACAUUAUAAAUUAAAUGCUAAAAAAUAUGGCACAAGCUAGCACAAAUGUUGAUCCACAAUAUAUACAGCAAAUGAAUGCAUUACAAUAAACCAAUCACACAUUUGUCUAAUACAACAAGGCUUCAAUCUUUCUUGAGGCCUAAGGAACCUUCCCAAAGUUUAU
rnacentral:lncRNA from 1 species